rnacentral:rRNA from 1 species
ACUAAGCGUACACGGUGGAUGCCCUGGCAGUCAGAGGCGAUGAAGGACGUGCUAAUCUGCGAUAAGCGUCGGUAAGGUGAUAUGAACCGUUAUAACCGGCGAUUUCCGAAUGGGGAAACCCAGUGUGAUUCGUCACACUAUCAUUAACUGAAUCCAUAGGUUAAUGAGGCGAACCGGGGGAACUGAAACAUCUAAGUACCCCGAGGAAAAGAAAUCAACCGAGAUUCCCCCAGUAGCGGCGAGCGAACGGGGAGGAGCCCAGAGCCUGAAUCAGUGUGUGUGUUAGUGGAAGCGUCUGGAAAGGCGCGCGAUACAGGGUGACAGCCCCGUACACAAAAAUGCACAUACUGUGAGCUCGAUGAGUAGGGCGGGACACGUGGUAUCCUGUCUGAAUAUGGGGGGACCAUCCUCCAAGGCUAAAUACUCCUGACUGACCGAUAGUGAACCAGUACCGUGAGGGAAAGGCGAAAAGAACCCCGGCGAGGGGAGUGAAAAAGAACCUGAAACCGUGUACGUACAAGCAGUGGGAGCCUCUUUUAUGGGGUGACUGCGUACCUUUUGUAUAAUGGGUCAGCGACUUAUAUUCUGUAGCAAGGUUAACCGAAUAGGGGAGCCGAAGGGAAACCGAGUCUUAACCGGGCGUUAAGUUGCAGGGUAUAGACCCGAAACCCGGUGAUCUAGCCAUGGGCAGGUUGAAGGUUGGGUAACACUAACUGGAGGACCGAACCGACUAAUGUUGAAAAAUUAGCGGAUGACUUGUGGCUGGGGGUGAAAGGCCAAUCAAACCGGGAGAUAGCUGGUUCUCCCCGAAAGCUAUUUAGGUAGCGCCUCGUGAAUUCAUCUCCGGGGGUAGAGCACUGUUUCGGCAAGGGGGUCAUCCCGACUUACCAACCCGAUGCAAACUGCGAAUACCGGAGAAUGUUAUCACGGGAGACACACGGCGGGUGCUAACGUCCGUCGUGAAGAGGGAAACAACCCAGACCGCCAGCUAAGGUCCCAAAGUCAUGGUUAAGUGGGAAACGAUGUGGGAAGGCCCAGACAGCCAGGAUGUUGGCUUAGAAGCAGCCAUCAUUUAAAGAAAGCGUAAUAGCUCACUGGUCGAGUCGGCCUGCGCGGAAGAUGUAACGGGGCUAAACCAUGCACCGAAGCUGCGGCAGCGACACUGUGUGUUGUUGGGUAGGGGAGCGUUCUGUAAGCCUGUGAAGGUGUACUGUGAGGUAUGCUGGAGGUAUCAGAAGUGCGAAUGCUGACAUAAGUAACGAUAAAGCGGGUGAAAAGCCCGCUCGCCGGAAGACCAAGGGUUCCUGUCCAACGUUAAUCGGGGCAGGGUGAGUCGACCCCUAAGGCGAGGCCGAAAGGCGUAGUCGAUGGGAAACAGGUUAAUAUUCCUGUACUUGGUGUUACUGCGAAGGGGGGACGGAGAAGGCUAUGUUGGCCGGGCGACGGUUGUCCCGGUUUAAGCGUGUAGGCUGGUUUUCCAGGCAAAUCCGGAAAAUCAAGGCUGAGGCGUGAUGACGAGGCACUACGGUGCUGAAGCAACAAAUGCCCUGCUUCCAGGAAAAGCCUCUAAGCAUCAGGUAACAUCAAAUCGUACCCCAAACCGACACAGGUGGUCAGGUAGAGAAUACCAAGGCGCUUGAGAGAACUCGGGUGAAGGAACUAGGCAAAAUGGUGCCGUAACUUCGGGAGAAGGCACGCUGAUAUGUAGGUGAAGUCCCUCGCGGAUGGAGCUGAAAUCAGUCGAAGAUACCAGCUGGCUGCAACUGUUUAUUAAAAACACAGCACUGUGCAAACACGAAAGUGGACGUAUACGGUGUGACGCCUGCCCGGUGCCGGAAGGUUAAUUGAUGGGGUCAGCGCAAGCGAAGCUCUUGAUCGAAGCCCCGGUAAACGGCGGCCGUAACUAUAACGGUCCUAAGGUAGCGAAAUUCCUUGUCGGGUAAGUUCCGACCUGCACGAAUGGCGUAAUGAUGGCCAGGCUGUCUCCACCCGAGACUCAGUGAAAUUGAACUCGCUGUGAAGAUGCAGUGUACCCGCGGCAAGACGGAAAGACCCCGUGAACCUUUACUAUAGCUUGACACUGAACAUUGAGCCUUGAUGUGUAGGAUAGGUGGGAGGCUUUGAAGUGUGGACGCCAGUCUGCAUGGAGCCGACCUUGAAAUACCACCCUUUAAUGUUUGAUGUUCUAACGUGGACCCGUGAUCCGGGUUGCGGACAGUGUCUGGUGGGUAGUUUGACUGGGGCGGUCUCCUCCUAAAGAGUAACGGAGGAGCACGAAGGUUGGCUAAUCCUGGUCGGACAUCAGGAGGUUAGUGCAAUGGCAUAAGCCAGCUUGACUGCGAGCGUGACGGCGCGAGCAGGUGCGAAAGCAGGUCAUAGUGAUCCGGUGGUUCUGAAUGGAAGGGCCAUCGCUCAACGGAUAAAAGGUACUCCGGGGAUAACAGGCUGAUACCGCCCAAGAGUUCAUAUCGACGGCGGUGUUUGGCACCUCGAUGUCGGCUCAUCACAUCCUGGGGCUGAAGUAGGUCCCAAGGGUAUGGCUGUUCGCCAUUUAAAGUGGUACGCGAGCUGGGUUUAGAACGUCGUGAGACAGUUCGGUCCCUAUCUGCCGUGGGCGCUGGAGAACUGAGGGGGGCUGCUCCUAGUACGAGAGGACCGGAGUGGACGCAUCACUGGUGUUCGGGUUGUCAUGCCAAUGGCACUGCCCGGUAGCUAAAUGCGGAAGAGAUAAGUGCUGAAAGCAUCUAAGCACGAAACUUGCCCCGAGAUGAGUUCUCCCUGACCCUUUAAGGGUCCUGAAGGAACGUUGAAGACGACGACGUUGAUAGGCCGGGUGUGUAAGCGCAGCGAUGCGUUGAGCUAACCGGUACUAAUGAACCGUGAGGCUUAACC